rnacentral:ncRNA from 1 species
AUAGCGCCAUCACACGCCGAGCCGCUGUGUCUAAAUCCGCUUGCCGGACACGACCAGUGUGCCGUGGUCUUACUGACCACCGGGGUUACGCUGGAAACGGCGUUACCUCCCGUUAUCUGGAAAGGUGUCGCUUAUGCUUAUGGA